AUUGAACGCUGGCGGAAUGCUUUACACAUGCAAGUCGAACGGUAGAGGGGGCAACCCCUCGAGAGUGGCGAACGGGUGAGUAAUAUAUCGGAACGUGCCCAGUCGUGGGAGAUAACGUUGCGAAAGUUACGCUAAUACCGCAUACGAUCUAAGGAUGAAAGCGGGGGAUCGCAAGACCUCGCGCGAUUGGAGCGGCCGAUAUCAGAUUAGGUAGUUGGUGGGGUAAAGGCUCACCAAGCCAACGAUCUGUAGCUGGUCUGAGAGGACGACCAGCCACACUGGAACUGAGACACGGUCCAGACUCCUACGGGAGGCAGCAGUGGGGAAUUUUGGACAAUGGACGCAAGUCUGAUCCAGCCAUUCCGCGUGCAGGAUGAAGGCCCUCGGGUUGUAAACUGCUUUUGUACGGAACGAAAAGGUCUCUCUUAAUACGGGGGACUCAUGACGGUACCGUAAGAAUAAGCACCGGCUAACUACGUGCCAGCCGCCGCAGUAA
rnacentral:rRNA from 1 species